GGUUCAGGAUGAACGCUAGCGACAGGCCUAACACAUGCAAGUCGAGGGGCAGCACAAGGAGCAAUCUGAGGUGGCGACCGGCGCACGGGUGAGUAACACGUAUGCAACCUGCCUGUAAGCGGGGAAUAACCCGUUGAAAGACGGACUAAUACCGCAUAAUACUAAAUUACUGCAUGGUAAUUUAUUUAAACAUUUAUGGCUUACAGAUGGGCAUGCGCAUGAUUAGCUAGUUGGAGAGGUAACGGCUCCCCAAGGCAACGAUCAUUAGGGGUUCUGAGAGGAAGGUCCCCCACACUGGUACUGAGACACGGACCAGACUCCUACGGGAGGCAGCAGUGAGGAAUAUUGGUCAAUGGACGAGAGUCUGAACCAGCCAAGUCGCGUGCAGGAAGAAUGUUCCCUAUGGAUUGUAAACUGCUUUUGCAGGGGAAUAAAGUGCAUCACGUGUGAUGUUUUGUAUGUACUCUGCGAAUAAGGAUCGGCUAACUCCGUGCCAGCCGCCGC
rnacentral:rRNA from 1 species